UACGUAGGGUGCGAGCGUUAAUCGGAAUUACUGGGCGUAAAGCGCGCGUAGGCGGUUUUGCAAGUCGGGUGUGAAAUCCCCAGGCUUAACCUGGGAACUGCAUUCGAGACUGCAUUACUAGAGUAUGGGAGAGGGAAGUGGAAUUUCCGGUGUAGCGGUGAAAUGCGUAGAUAUCGGAAGGAACAUCAGUGGCGAAAGCGACUUCCUGGACCAAUACUGACGCUCAUGUGCGAAAGCGUGGGGAGCAAACAGG
rnacentral:rRNA from 1 species